AUGAAAAUGCACGCUUACUCCGUGACAACCAUGGACACCUACAUGACUCACUGCCAGACAUUUGGAAUACCUCUGUGGGUGGCACCACUGCUCCGCGCUGCUUCGCGCCCUAGGAGUGACCACGCACGGCGAAAAAAGMCCUACAAAUGUAUUCAGCGGAAACUGUAUCACCAUGGGGUGGGCUGCCAGAAGGGUGACGGUGGCCAUCCCACUUAUGUCUACCCAUCAGAGCUGAAGCAGUUGAUGCGCGCUGUGUUCCCAGAGGACGUCUGUGACUACCCUGACCCAUGCCACGCACAGGUGGUGCAGGUGACUAUAGAGGACCUUCAGGGAAUUGAGUCCUCUUGGCUGAAGAGGGCACUUACAUAG
rnacentral:lncRNA from 1 species